GACGAACGCUGGCGGCGUGCUUAACACAUGCAAGUCGAACGGAAAGGCCCUGCUUUUGUGGGGUGCUCGAGUGGCGAACGGGUGAGUAACACGUGAGUAACCUGCCCUUGACUUUGGGAUAACUUCAGGAAACUGGGGCUAAUACCGGAUAGGAGCUCCUGCUGCAUGGUGGGGGUUGGAAAGUUUCGGCGGUUGGGGAUGGACUCGCGGCUUAUCAGCUUGUUGGUGGGGUAGUGGCUUACCAAGGCUUUGACGGGUAGCCGGCCUGAGAGGGUGACCGGCCACAUUGGGGAUGAGAUACGGCCCAGACUCCUACGGGAGGGAGGAGGGGGGAAUAUUGCACAAUGGGCGGAAGCCUGAUGCAGCAACGCCGCGUGCGGGAUGACGGCCUUCGGGUUGUAAACCGCUUUCGCCUGUGACGAAGCGUGAGUGACGGUAAUGGGGAAAGAAGCACCGGCUAACUACGU
rnacentral:rRNA from 1 species